GGCCAGUUAGCUCAGUUAGUUCGAGUGUGGUGCUGAUAACACCAAGGUCACGGGUUUGAUCCCUGUUUGGUCC
rnacentral:tRNA from 1 species